GGGAUGAUUCGACCCUCCAUGGUGGGCGCUUGACACUAGGGGGGCUUGGAUUUAGAGUCCAUGAAAUUUCUAUGAGUCGGAUCUCGGGAGCGCUCAAAAGUGGCUCUGAUCUGAAAGCUAAAAAGUGUUCCAAAAACUACCAAAGUAUGCCUUAGAAACCUUAUAAAAUGGACCUCUUUCAUCAGGCAAUGAAGCCCAUUGAAGUACCGAAUUGAGGAUUAUAGGUAAAGAACAGAAGUAGCCUCCUAAUACUAUUACACUAUUUCUUUGGGGUGCUUGCUUUAUGAAGAUGGGCUUGGAGGGGAAGUGGAAAUUGAAUUCAGAAACUCUCUGAGACCCAUCUCUUUCUUGCUUGGCGAAAGAAACAAGGCCAUUUCUUCCUUGCAUCCUAAACACUGUCUAGGAUGAUAUGUAUUGCAAAUCCCUAUUUGACUAUUAAGGGCAUGCAUUUCUUCAAAGACUGCUACAUUGAAGGCACCGUUGAUUUCAUCUUUGGAAAUGGCAAACCCCUUUAUUUGAACACCACAAUUCAAUCUGUUGCAAAGGAUCUGGGGGUGAUCACAGCACAAGGCAGGGAAGAUGCAGGCGACGACAGUAUUUUUUCAUUCCUUUACUACAAAAUAACCGAUGCAGGCAACAGUACCUCUGACCUUGUCCGUCCAUGGAGGCUAGGGCCUAGGGUCAUCUUUGCUUUCACAUACAUUGGCACCAUCAUCAACAGCUAAGGCUGGUCCACUGAAGGGCACCCUGAUCGCAACCACAACCAGACUGUAUAUUAUGGAGAAUACAAGUGUAUGGGGCCGAGGCUACUUCCUCUGGUCGAGUUGGAUAUGCAAAGGCGAAGCCCUUCUUAAGCAUAACUUAUAUCCAUUGAAGCAAUUGGCUUCUCCCACCUCCCAAGCUGUGAAAACUUUACUAAACACAAGGAGCAAUUCUGCAAAUAUAUUUGUAUAUCUGUUGGUGCUGAGAAGGAAGGUGAUUAGAUGUUUAUCAGUUUGUAAGAUAAUCAAAGUGAGUGUUAUAAGAAGAGGACUCUUAUGUUAUAAAAUUGUGUAUGUUACGGAAGUAAAUGAGAUAUAUGAUUAGUCUUAUUCAUAAUCUAAUUCUAGUAUUGUAUAAUAAUUUUAAUUAAAUAAUUUAU